rnacentral:rRNA from 1 species
UACGGGGGGAGCAAGCGUUGUUCGGAUUUACUGGGCGUAAAGGGCGCGUAGGCGGCGCAACAAGUCACUUGUGAAAUCUCCGGGCUUAACCCGGAGCGGCCAAGUGAUACUGUCGUGCUAGAGUGCGGAAGGGGCUACUGGAAUUCUCGGUGUAGCGGUGAAAUGCGUAGAUAUCGAGAGGAACACCUGCGGCGAAGGCGGGUAGCUGGGCCGACACGUGACGCUGAGGCGCGAAAGCCGGGGGAGCGAACGGG